rnacentral:misc_RNA from 1 species
GAUGAAGAACGUAGCGAAAUGCGAUAAGUAAUGUGAAUUGCAGAAUUCAGUGAAUCAUCGAAUCUUUGAACGCUCAUUGCGCCGGCCAGCAUUCUGGCGGGCAUGCCUGUUCGAGCGUCAUUUCAACCCUCGAGCCCCCCCGGGGGCCUCGGUGUUGGGGGACGGCACACCAGCCGCCCCCGAAAUGCAGUGGCGACCCCGCCGCAGCCUCCCCUGCGUAGUAGCACACACCUCGCACCGGAGCGCGGAGGCGGUCACGCCGUAAAACGCCCAACUUUCUUAGAGUUGACCUCGGAUCAGGUAGGAAUACCCGCUGAACUUAAGCAUAUCAAUAAGCGGAGGA